rnacentral:sRNA from 1 species
ACUCAUCCUCCUCUGAGAUUUCAGUUAGUUCAGAGGAGAAACGGCAAGAAUCCACUAGCAGUGGCAGGGGUUCAUCAUCGCAGAAGAAUGGCCUUGAAGGCAGCUGCAGACCACCAACAUCACCUUCAAGCAUUUCUAUGACCUCACUCAUCGUUGGACGAUCAUGAGACUUCAUUUGAAUGCAAUGUAGACCAACAACACACAACUUCUUUUCCAGCUCAUGCAUAUUGAAGGCAUUGGCAAUCUCACCCAUCUUUUGUUGAACCAGCUGAUUAUACACCCAAGAUGGAUAAUAUGACUGGCUUGAGCUCGACAUGUUCUGCUUAGAAUUCCUUCGCCCUCCAGCCAUCUCCAACAGAAGCAUUCCAAAGCUAUAAACAUCAGAUUUGCUAGAUAUGAUACCAAAGCUCCGAGAUAUCAUCUCAGGAGCAAUAUAACCUACUGUUCCUCGUGCAGCGCUAACUGGCAUAAAACUGUUAUCCCGUGGGUACAGUUUGGCAAGGCCAAAAUCGGCAACUUUUGGGACAAAAUUGCUAUCAAGAAGGAUGUUGUGCGGCUUGAUAUCAAAAUGUAGAAUCUGCAUAUCACACCCCUGAUGUAAGUAGUUUAUUCCUCUAGCAAUGCCCAAUGCGAUCUCAUUGAGCUUGUCCCAAGAGAGACUCUUGUCAGGAGAGAAGAUGAACCUGUCAAGAGAUCCAUGGGGCAUGUACUCAUACACAAGUGCACUCCUCAUUUCCUCUGCACAAUACCCCACUAGACGUACUACAUUGACAUGAUGGAUACUGCCAAUGGUGGAUACCUCGCUGAUGAAUUCUUCUCCAUUACAAUUGUAGUUGGAUAGCAUUUUGAUGGCAACAUGGACAUCACCAGGCAGUAUCACUCCCUUGAACACGGAGCCAUAGCCACCCUGGCCCAACUUGUCUCUAAAAUGGCUUGUCAUUGCAAUGAUGUCUGUGUAGGCGUACCUUGUUGGACCAAGCAUCAGCUGCAUUUGUAAAAACUUCUCAACUGCGUCGAUUUUUAUUCUAGUUUUCCAAUACUUGAAGGCAAGGAAGGUCAAUAGUGUCAACGGAGCUAUCACGAACCUGCAUAAAACUGCAUAAAAAAACAACUUUACAUAAACAGUGAUAACUUUUAGUAAAUGUGUCUUUAGACAUUGGAACGGUGCAGUGGUGAUUAUGUACUGUAUAAUUAAGAAGACAGAAUCAUAGAAGUACCAGCAAUCCACUUGAAAACAAACAAAGCAAAUUGUACAAUGAAUCCGCCAUAAAAUUCUAUUUUUCCACGAAGCAUCCCCAUCAUGUAUUACAAAUAUGUACUCAAAUUUAUGUAUGAAUGUAAUGGAACAACACCUGAAACUCACCGAAUCGACCCCAUCAGACAAUCCUUGAUGUGCCCAAUCCUACUCCACCUAUGUAUUAUGGGAAAAUGAACAGCAAAUCCAUUCCUCAUGGAUCUGACGAUGUCUGAAAAGCUUGCAUUAUGUGGCAAUGGCGAGUCCCAACCACCCAAGGGAAUCAUGGCAAGGUAGCGACAUGAAGUCUCAAGGUUUCCGAUGAUUGGAAAAACAGAUGGAGGCAUUAUCCAGGAACCAAACACAUAAACAAACGAAGAGCUUGUGCUCAGGCAAUCAACAGGAACGUACACACUAUUAUUCCUUACUGCCUGUGAACAAUUCACAAAGCUAACCCAUGUAGCUCCAGGUCCAGGGUCAAGGGCCAGGUCCCAGCCGCCAUGUGAUCCCUGGAUACCCCCCGAAACGAAAGGAAGCUGAUCCGAGCGAGGAAGAGGGCAGCUGCUGUUUGUAUCUUUUAGGCUGGCAUCCACAACCCAGAAGACAGAAGUAGUGUAGUUGAUGCUGGUUACAUAGUAUGUCCCUGUGUUGAUCCUAAUGGUAGCCUUGCUAUCUCUGCAGUCUAACUCAUAUGACGGAACACCGCAUCUUUGUGGAUCACCUCGCCGGCGGAAAGGAUGAGAAAUGUUCUGGAGAUGUCCACAGGAGAAAGGAUAGCACCCUUGCCGCCCCUCGACAUCUCCUGCAAGAAGAGCAAGAACAGCAAAGAUGAAAACAAAGGCUUGCAUUGUGGUAGA